GACGUAGGGUGCGAGCGUUGUCCGGAUUUAUUGGGCGUAAAGAGCUUGUAGGCGGUCUGUCGCGUCUGCUGUGAAAAUCCGGGGCUCAACCCCGGACUUGCAGUGGGUACGGGCAGACUAGAGUGUGGUAGGGGAGACUGGAAUUCCUGGUGUAGCGGUGAAAUGCGCAGAUAUCAGGAGGAACACCGAUGGCGAAGGCAGGUCUCUGGGCCACUACUGACGCUGAGAAGCGAAAGCAUGGGGAGCGAACAGG
rnacentral:rRNA from 1 species